UACUGCACAAAGUCAUCCCAGAAGGCCCUCAGCUUUACAUAUUGCUUGAGGUUGAAAUCUGGAGUCUCGUUUUUCUUGACAUAUUUAUUGUACAAAGACUUCUUCCAAUUCUGGAAGAGUACUGCCAUCUUCUUCAUAGUCCAGUCAUAAAUUCGCACCUUCAACUCUUCAUCGUUGGUGUCGAAGGUGAAAACGUCUGUGACGGCUUUCCAAACUAACUCCUUGUCACGAUCAGAGACAAAACUGAUCUCAGGAGCACCUCGCUUCUCUCUCCAUUCACGACAACUGAUCGGUAUUUGAUCUCUCACAAGAUAUCCACAGUGAUUAACAUAUUUAUUUGCAUGCUCACCAAGUGGUCUGCCUAUAGCUAUCUCAAACUCAGAGAUUACAUAGCGGCCCUCCAACGGCUUCUUUGGCCCUCGUGGAGGUACGCUUCUCCCCGUAGAGGUCGAUCCAGAAGGCUACACGUACAUAUAGAAACAAAAAUACUAAAUUAAUAACCAAGUAAUAAGUCUAAAACCUAAUGUAAGAGAUGCAUUAUUUAUAUAUGUUUACAUUUACAUACCUCGCCAGUAUUUUCUUCUUGUUGCACGACAAGUUGUUGCUCAGGGGCAUUGCCCUCUUGUUGCUCAGGGGCAUUGCCCUCUUG
rnacentral:lncRNA from 1 species